AUUACAUUGAAAAGAAGGAGUACCAUGGUGCUGAUCACAUGUUCUACAACUAAAGCUAGGAUACCCAUCCAUCUUUCUAAUGAUGCAGGUCCCUUUCAAUGCCCCCGGAAAAGAUGGCAUCACAAUAAAAGCUCUCCCAUUAUUUCUCAUGCAAUGAUAGCUACCAAAACCCUGGUGACUACCAUUCUGAACCUCAGCUUCGUCCAGUCAUCAAACCAUAAAUUCUCUAAUUGAUAAGCUAAUAAAGCAUUACAGCUACUUACCUAAUAAAGUUGGCA
rnacentral:lncRNA from 1 species